AGCACCGCAAUUCUUAGUGGUGAAAUAAAAGAGUUCUCUUUCUGUAAGGUUCGGGUUUAAGCGUUCCCAAAACAUACAAAUUGAGCCAGAGUCGAAGCCGAAACCGAUUAUUGAUAAUAGAGCAAUCGGAAUGUCUAAGAACAAUUUAGCUCGCAGAAAGAGACAGCAUGAGUUCGAGCUUCAAAAUAAUUGCAUCUUCUUCUAUCUCUUUCUGUGUUUGUAUUAUUAUAUGUUUCGUUUAGCUCUUUGAAUUUGUAGUUACUGUUGUUGUUUUUCUGGUUAAUUAUAGAAGGGAAGGAACUGAAAGAAAAGAAAGAGAAGAAGCACCAAGAAAAGAAGAAUAAGAUGAAAUUGUUGUUAAGGUUGUCGGUAAAAACAAUACAAAGAGUGGUUCAAGUGGAUUUUUGCUUAGGAAGAAAAAGGUGAAGACCAAAUUGACUGCAUUGACAAAAGCCAAAGCUGCCCAGGCAAAUGGAGGUUGACAAAUGAAGUUCAAAUUUUUAUGUCUUAGGUUUAUGUUGUUAUGCUGGUAAGUUAAAGAAUUUCAUUGCUGUUGAAUUCACAGCUUUUUUGUAAGUUGUAACUUAGACAGGAAGUUUUUAUCUAGAAUUGUCUAUGGUAUUCACAUGGUUGUUCCUGAUUGAUUUAUUCACAUGGUUGUUCCUGAUUGAUUUGCUUAUGAAGAUAAACUUUUGUGGUUGCUGGAAAAUUUUGAACUUUGAGACAUUGUAUGUAUUUAUAGAAGUAACUAUGGCUACUAGACUAUUUAGGGUGAGAAAAUAAUUCUUAUCUAUGUUAGGAUGGGGGAUGAAAAUCAGUAAAUCACUAUGAUUUUGCUGCCUUUGGCCAAUAAAUACAAUUGCCAUGGCAGGGGGAGAAGAUAUGCUUUCAGCAAACUGAAUCAAAAAAAGUAAACUGCACAAUUAAAUAGUUAGGAAAAGUACAUCUCUUAUGUAGCAUAUCAGAACAGUCAAUCGCAUGAAGUAUAUUUUGCAAGGAGAGUCUUUGGCAAUUCUCUGCAUCGGCUAAAUAAGAUGUACUAAUGGGUUUUAAAACCCUAAGAAGGUUAUCAUGUGCAAGACAGACCAUGAAAGCUAUCAAGAACUUUUGCUGACGAGUCCUAUUGCAAUUAACCAUAAUUAGCACGAGUCCUAAUGAGAUUGUUGUUACUGUUUCUACUUCAUUAGUUGAUUUUUAUAGUUCAAAGCUUCUUAACCGAAAUCAUAAUUAUAAACAAAAUCAUCAAGGAGUGGGAGUCUCCCAGGGGGGGAAGUUAAAAUAUGCUUUCCUAUAACAAAUUGAGGAUCAUAGUUGUCAUGCGUGCAUAUUGAUUUUGGUUACAUGAGAAGGAAAUCUUAGUUGAAAAGAGGUAUACUGAGAUGAGUUGGUGAAGAACCAUGCAUGAUUGUACCAAAUAGAACCAUGCAUGAUUGUACCAAAUAGAACCAUGCAUCAAUUUAUCAGAUUAUGUUGAAAUAGUUCAUACUUCAUUCCUGUAUUGUUAUUGCCCGUUCGUCUAAGUCAAAUUAACCCGCUUAUUCAAACUGUUCCUUGUAAAUGAUU